UUUAUAUUUUCAGAGAACAUGUUUGUGGAAGAGGCUCUUGAAGCAGCGUUUCAGAGGGAGGAUUUUGACGCUCGAGAGGUUGCAGAAGGAGUACGAGGAGCAACCAAUGGAAGUCAUCAUCGUUCCCAUUUCUAUUCCUAGAGAUGAAGAGGAUACAGGAUAUGAUGCUGACGAUGAGGUAGCAAGCGAAGACGAGGAGGAAAUUCAACCCGAUGAGGAGGAGG